UGGGGAAUAUUGCGCAAUGGGCGGAAGCCUGACGCAGCAACGCCGCGUGCGGGAUGACGGCCUUCGGGUUGUAAACCGCUUUUCAGCAGGGACGAAGCGUGAGUGACGGUACCUGCAGAAGAAGCACCGGCCAACUACGUGCCAGCAGCCGCGGUGAUACGUAGGGUGCGAGCGUUGUCCGGAAUUAUUGGGCGUAAAGAGCUCGUAGGUGGUUGAUCGCGUCGAAAGUGAAAUCUCAGGGCUUAACCCUGAGCGUGCUUUCGAUACGGGUCGACUAGAGGAAGGGUAGGGGAGAAUGGAAUUCCUGGUGGAGCGGUGGAAUGCGCAGAUAUCAGGAGGAACACCAGUGGCGAAGGCGGUUCUCUGGACCUUUCCGUGACGCUGAGAGCGAAAAGCGUGGGGAGC
rnacentral:rRNA from 1 species